GACGAACGCUGGCGGCGUGCUUAACACAUGCAAGUCGAACGGAAGGGCCCUGCUUUUGUGGGGUGCUCGAGUGGCGAACGGGUGAGUAACACGUGAGUAACCUGCCCUUGACUUUGGGAUAACUUCAGGAAACUGGGGCUAAUACCGGAUAGGAGCUCCUGCUGCAUGGUGGGGGUUGGAAAGGUUCGGCGGUUGGGGAUGGACUCGCGGCUUAUCAGCUUGUUGGUGGGGUAGUGGCUUACCAAGGCUUUGACGGGUAGCCGGCCUGAGAGGGUGACCGGCCACACUGGGACUGAGAUACGGCCCAGACUCCUACGGGAGGCAGCAGUGGGGAAUAUUGCACAAUGGGCGGAAGCCUGAUGCAGCAACGCCGCGUGCGGGAUGACGGCCUUCGGGUUGUAAACCGCUUUCGCCUGUGACGAAGCGUGAGUGACGGUAAUGGGUAAAGAAGCACCGGCUAACUACGUG
rnacentral:rRNA from 1 species